rnacentral:rRNA from 1 species
UUAAAUGAAUUGACGGGACCGCACAAGCGGUGGAUGAUGUGGAUUAAUUCGAUGCAACGCGAAAAACCUUACCUACCCUUGACAUGUCCGGAAUCCCGAAGAGAUUGGGAGUGCUCGCAAGAGAACCGGAACACAGGUGCUGCAUGGCUGUCGUCAGCUCGUGUCGUGAGAUGUUGGGUUAAGUCCCGCAACGAGCGCAACCCUUGCCAUUAGUUGCUACGAAAGGGCACUCUAAUGGGACUGCCGGUGACAAACCGGAGGAAGGUGGGGAUGACGUCAAGUCCUCAUGGCCCUUAUAGGUGGGGCUACACACGUCAUACAAUGGCCGGUACAGAGGGUAGCCAACCCACGAGGGGGAGCCAAUCCCACAAAGCCGGUCGUAGUCCGGAUCGCAGUCUGCAACUCGACUGCGUGAAGUCGGAAUCGCUAGUAAUCGCGGAUCAGCAUGUCGCGGUGAAUACGUUCCCGGGUCUU